AAUAAUUGCUUGGAUAGAGUGGACCUCGAGCAUGUGGAUGCAUGGGCCAACCACAUCAAAUCGAGUAAUUAAUUUCCCUUUGAUGCCACGAUGUGCACACAGAUGGAUCGGAUCGAUCCCUCCCUGCGAGCAUAUGUCGGUGUGUGUGUGUGUGCAUAUACUACGACGCAAAGAUGUGAAGGUCCCGGCGAUAAAUCUCCCUCGGUAACCAGGUCUUACCGAUUUGAAGGCCAGAUCGAGCAUGAUAAUUUAACGGUUUCGCUAUUUCACAGUGGAGUGUUUUACAAUUGCGCAUCAUUCAAUUUUGUGGCCGUUCAAUCUUGCACGGAGAUUCAUGCUGGGAGGUGUCUUUUUAGGACGUUUUCCUUUUCUGUUCCUUACUGGUGGCGUAAUAGUUUCCCGGCCAACCCGUUACUGCCCAAGUGCCCAUCCCCUAGGCCCUAGCCCUCUGUCUCCUUUUUUUCCAUUUCUGUCCUUUCGAUUCCUUGGCGAUUUCCUUGUCCACCAUGGAUCAUGACGAGAAUGAACUUCUCUUUCAUGUAAUGGUUUAGAUGAGUCACGGUCCUGUUCGCUGCCAGUCUUUUUCCCUUCCCGACUAGAUGAAUAAAAUAUUAAUUCCAUUCGGGCAGGUGAGGAAGGGCGGCGUCGGCUUGACCAUGUCUUCUGUCUUAGUCGUUUCGGAGACUAAGUUUCUCAUUCAAUGGUGAGGUGUUUAUAGAAAGCAAGGCCUCGCUCGACGAGUCAUGUAGUCAUAGGUUUGAGUUCCCUAAUCAGUAGUGUAAGUUCCACAAGUAAGUAGUGUAACUUCCAUUUGAAUUCCAUUAGUUUGCAACGUUUUUGAAUUUGUAUCACACUGGUGAGUUUCCUAGUUUUUUAGUACUGCAAGUUCCAUAGGCAAGUAUUGGAAGCUUCCUAGUUUUGCAAUGCCCACUUGCACUUUUAGAACCUAACAUUUUGGGUUUCUCUUUGUUGGAUUUGUAUUGAAUCCAGUUUACCAUUUGAAAGUCUAAAUGGAUAUUACUGAAACUAAAGUGUAAUCACAAUGUUCUAAUCUCUUAAAUGCAUGUGUUUUUAUUAGAAAUCUGGUGUAAUUUUACUGAAAUUUGUACUGUGAGCACAAUGUAUGUUUCAGUGAAAUUUUAGUGGAAUUAUUAUGUGCAUUUUCAGUGGAAUUAUAGUGCUUUUGAAUUGUAAUUACAGUGGGGAUUUCAGUGUAAUUACAGUGAGUAUUUUAGAGUAAUCACAUUAUCUUUUUAGUUAAUUUACCCCUCAGGAUGUUGGGUUUUGUCAUUGUUGAUGCAUUCACUUUAGAACAAUUUAUUUUCUUUUGUUAGGGUUAUUGGUAUACUCGUACUUUAUUUCUGCCCAUUUGUGUAAGCAACCUUAGUUGUGCACAUGAUUUUCUAGUAUAUGUAAUUUCAGCAAUUUGGUAACUAUAUUUUCAGUGUUUUUAGGCUUAUAGCUACUAUAAUUUACUACUUUGGAAAUGCUCUUUUUUUGCACUGCACAUGCUAAAUUUGUGGUUAUUCUAUGUCCCCAGUGCUUUUAUGCAAACUGACCAGUUUAGUGCCGUGGAAUAGAUAGAUUAUGUGAUCUCUGCAAAAUUUCUGGUGAUUUUGCAGGUGCUUAGGGUUUAGGGUUUCCAUACUCCAAUAGCCUAUCUGAUUUGGUGUUGUUCCCUUGUUAUUUCUUUCCACCGGCUCUCCAUGUACUAACAGUUCCAGAGCUCCUGAACUGUUAGAUAUUGUUGUACUGUUCUUCUUCAUAUAAUAAAGAUUGGCCAAUGGCCCUUCGAGAUUUUGCAGGUGCUCAAAGAUGUGCAAUUAACUAGGAGUUGAAAGUGAAGCUACCGUUGACAUGUCAAGUGCUCAAAUAAUGUGUAUUUUCUCUAGUGUAUUUUCAUUGUGUUCUUUGCAGUCAAUGUGUAAUUACAGUGCAUUUCAGUAGAGUUACAGUGCUUUUUAUUUGUAACUAGAAUGGAAUUUCAGUGCAAUUACAGUGGGGAUUUUAGUGGAUUUUCUAGAGUAAUCGCAGUUUACGUCACAAUGUAAUUACGGUGAAUUUUUAGUCUCACUACAGUGGGCAUUUAAGAGGAUUUUGAGAGAUAUUAUACUGCAUUUCGUUGUAUUUUUCGCAGUCAAAUUGAACUGCAAUUACAUUGUCUUUUACAGUGUAAGUACAAUGUUUUUCAGUGUAA